GGAUGCUGUGGAACACUUGCUCCUGAGCAUGCGCGCGUCCCCACUGUUUAGUCAGCCUUUUCUGGCGGAAUCUUGAGAGGCGCAGCAGGACCGGCGAGAUUGAGGAGCUGGAGGAGAUGCUGUUUCGUGAGAAACUGAGAUGAAUUGCUGUCUCAUAGAUUUGUGGAGAUUAAAUGAGAUGAACACUUAUGCUG